rnacentral:rRNA from 1 species
CCUACGGGAGGCAGCAGUAGGGAAUAUUGCUCAAUGGGGGAAACCCUGAAGCAGCAACGCCGCGUGGAGGAUGAAGUUUUUCGGAUUGUAAACUCCUUUUUUUAGAGAAGAUAAUGCCGGUAUCUAACGAAUAAGCACCGGCUAACUCCGUGCCAGCAGCCGCGGUAAUACGUAGGGGGCAAGCGUUACUCGGAUUCACUGGGCGUAAAGAGCGCGUAGGCGGGAUAGCAAGUCAGAAGUGAAAUCCUAUGGCUUAACCAUAGAACUGCAUUUGAAACUGUUAUUCUAGAGUAUGGGAGAGGUAGGUGGAAUUCUUGGUGUAGGGGUAAAAUCCGUAGAGAUCAAGAGGAAUAC